CCGUGGCGAAAGCUACGCUAAUNCCGCAUACGUUCUACGGAAGAAAGUGGGGGAUCGCAAGGCCUCAUGCUUUUGGAUCGGCCGAUGUCUGAUUAGCUAGUUGGUGAGGUAAAGGCUCCCAAGGCGUCGAUCUGUAGCUGGUCUGAGGGCGACCAGCCACUCUGGUACUGAGCCGGUCCAGACUCCUACGGGAGGCAGCAGUGGGGAAUUUUGGGCGAUGGGCGCAAGCCUGAUCCAGCAAUGCCGCGUGAGUGAAGAAGGCCUUCGGGUUGUAAAGCUCUU
rnacentral:rRNA from 1 species